AGCGGCGUGCGCGUUUCAUUGCCUCGCGCGAAUGUGAUUUGAGCAGGAAAAAAAUGUUCUGGACGGCUGCAAGGUGUGCGCCUCACUCAAAAUAGUCAAAUCGCUUUAUAAGUUUGUAGCUUUAAUCAUUGCAACUAAUGGAACCACUAAACGCUUCAUUUAAACAUUCAUGUAACAAAAUUAACUGAAAAUUCAGUAGAAAAAAUCUUCUUUACGAGUGCCUUGUAGAGCAACAUUUUGAUUUCGCACCUUUGUAACUGAUAGAAACACUAGAAGCCUCGUUUAAAUUCAUAUUCAGUAGUGAAACACUUCUUCAAAAAUGAUACUUAGAACAAAUAAGCUUUAUAUUCAGUUUUAAUGAAUUCAUUUUAAAUUUCAGAUUACAAGCGGCGUGCGCGUUUCAUUGCCUCGCGCGAAUGUGAUUUGAGCAGGAAAAAAAUGUUCUGGACGGCUGAAAGUUGUGCGCCUCACUCAAAAUAGUCAAAUCGCUUUGUAAGUUUGGAGCUUUAAUCAUUGCAACUAAUGGAACCACUAAACGCUUCAUUUAAACAUUCACUAAACAAAAUUAUUUGAAAAUCAGUAGAAAAAUUUUCUUUACGAGUGCCUCGUAGAGCAACAUUUUGAUUUCGCACCUUUGUAACUGAUAGAAACACUAGAAGCCUCGUUUAAAUUCAUAUUCAGUAGUGAAACACUUCUUCAAAAAUGAUACUUAGAACAAAUAAGCUUUAUAUUCAGUUUUAAUGAAUUCAUUUUAAAUUUCAGAUUACAAGCGGCGUGCGCGUUUCAUUGCCUCGCGCGAAUGUGAUUUGAGCAGGAAAAAAAUGUUCUGGACGGCUGCAAGGUGUGCGCCUCACUCAAAAUAGUCAAAUCGCUUUAUAAGUUUGGAGCUUUAAUCAUUGCAACUAAUGGAACCACUAAACGCUUCAUUUAAACAUUCAUGUAACAAAAUUAACUGAAAAUUCAGUAGAAAAAAUCUUCUUUACGAGUGCCUUGUAGAGCAACAUUUUGAUUUCGCACCUUUGUAACUGAUAGAAACACUAAAAGCUUCGUUUAAAUUCAUAUUCAGUAGUGAAACACUUCUUCAAAAAUGAUACUUAGAACAAAUAAGCUUUAUAUUCAGUUUUAAUGAAUUCAUUUUAAAUUUCAGAUUACAAGCAGUGAGCGCGUUUCAUUGCCUCGCGCGAAUGUGAUUUGAGCAGGAAAAAAAUGUUCUGGACGGCUGCAAGGUGUGCGCCUCACUCAAAAUAGUCAAAUCGCUUUGUAAGUUUGGAGCUUUAAUCAUUGCAACUAAUGGAACCACUAAACGCUUUAUUUAAACAUUCAUGUAACAAAAUUAACUGAAAAUUCAGUAGAAAAAAUCUUCUUUACGAGUGCCUUGUAGAGCAACAUUUUGAUUUCGCACCUUUGUAACUGAUAGAAACACUAAAAGCUUCGUUUAAAUUCAUAUUCAGUAGUGAAACACUUCUUCAAAAAUGAUACUUAGAACAAAUAAGCUUUAUAUUCAGUUUUAAUGAAUUCAUUUUAAAUUUCAGAUUACAAGCGGCGUGCGCGUUUCAUUGCCUCGCGCGAAUGUGAUUUGAGCAGGAAAAAAAUGUUCUGGACGGCUGCAUGGUGUGCGCCUCACUCAAAAUAGUCAAAUCGCUUUAUUACAAGCGGCGUGCGCGUUUCAUUGCCUCGCGCGAAUGUGAUUUGAGCAGGAAAAAAAUGUUCUGGACGGCUGCAAGGUGUGCGCCUCACUCAAAAUAGUCAAAUCGCUUUAUAAGUUUGUAGCUUUAAUCAUUGCAACUAAUGGAACCACUAAACGCUUCAUUUAAACAUUCAUGUAACAAAAUUAACUGAAAAUUCAGUAGAAAAAAUCUUCUUUACGAGUGCCUUGUAGAGCAACAUUUUGAUUUCGCACCUUUGUAACUGAUAGAAACACUAGAAGCCUCGUUUAAAUUCAUAUUCAGUAGUGAAACACUUCUUCAAAAAUGAUACUUAGAACAAAUAAGCUUUAUAUUCAGUUUUAAUGAAUUCAUUUUAAAUUUCAGAUUACAAGCGGCGUGCGCGUUUCAUUGCCUCGCGCGAAUGUGAUUUGAGCAGGAAAAAAAUGUUCUGGACGGCUGAAAGUUGUGCGCCUCACUCAAAAUAGUCAAAUCGCUUUAUUACAAGCGGCGUGCGUGUUUCAUUGCCUCGCGCGAAUGUGAUUUGAGCAGGAAAAAAAUGUUCUGGACGGCUGCAUGGUGUGCGCCUCACUCAAAAUAGUCAAGUCGCUUUAUAAGUUUGGAGCUUUAAUCAUUGCAACUAAUGGAACCACUAAACGCUGUAUUUAAACCUUCAUGAAACAAAAUUAACUGAAAAUUCAGCAGAAAAAUUUUCUUUACGAGUGCCUCUUAGAGCAACAUUUUGAUUUCGCACCUUUGUAACUGAUAGAAACACUAGAAGCCUCGUUUAAAUUCAUAUUCAGUAGUGAAACACUUCUUCAAAAAUGAUACUUAGAACAAAUAAGCUUUAUAUUCAGUUUUAAUGAAUUCAUUUUAAAUUUCAGAUUACAAGCAGUGAGCGCGUUUCAUUGCCUCGCGCGAAUGUGAUUUGAGCAGGAAAAAAAUGUUCUGGACGGCUGCAAGGUGUGCGCCUCACUCAAAAUAGUCAAAUCGCUUUAUAAGUUUGGAGCUUUAAUCAUUGCAACUAAUGGAACCACUAAACGCUGUAUUUAAACCUUCAUGAAACAAAAUUAACUGAAAAUUCAGCAGAAAAAUUUUCUUUACGAGUGCCUUUUAGAGCAACAUUUUGAUUUCGCACCUUUGUAACUGAUAGAAACACUAAAAGCUUCGUUUAAAUUCAUAUUCAGUAGUGAAACACUUCUUCAAAAAUGAUACUUAGAACAAAUAAGCUUUAUAUUCAGUUUUAAUGAAUUCAUUUUAAAUUUCAGAUUACAAGCGGCGUGCGCGUUUCAUUGCCUCGCGCGAAUGUGAUUUGAGCAGGAAAAAAAUGUUCUGGACGGCUGCAUGGUGUGCGCCUCACUCAAAAUAGUCAAAUCGCUUUGUAAGUUUGGAGCUUUAAUCAUUGCAACUAAUGGAACCACUAAACGCUUCAUUUAAACAUUCACAAAACAAAAUUAUUUGAAAAUCAGUAGAAAAAUUUUCUUUACGAGUGCCUCGUAGAGCAACAUUUUGAUUUCGCACCUUUGUAACUGAUAGAAACACUAGAAGCCUCGUUUAAAUUCAUAUUCAGUAGUGAAACACUUCUUCAAAAAUGAUACUUAGAACAAAUAAGCUUUAUAUUCAGUUAUAAUGAAUUCAUUUUAAAUUUCAGAUUACAAGCGGCGUGCGCGUUUCAUUGCCUCGCGCGAAUGUGAUUUGAGCAGGAAAAAAAUGUUCUGGACGGCUGCAAGGUGUGCGCCUCACUCAAAAUAGUCAAAUCGCUUUAUAAGUUUGUAGCUUUAAUCAUUGCAACUAAUGGAACCACUAAACGCUUCAUUUAAACAUUCAUGUAACAAAAUUAACUGAAAAUUCAGUAGAAAAAAUCUUCUUUACGAGUGCCUUGUAGAGCAACAUUUUGAUUUCGCACCUUUGUAACUGAUAGAAACACUAGAAGCCUCGUUUAAAUUCAUAUUCAGUAGUGAAACACUUCUUCAAAAAUGAUACUUAGAACAAAUAAGCUUUAUAUUCAGUUUUAAUGAAUUCAUUUUAAAUUUCAGAUUACAAGCGGCGUGCGCGUUUCAUUGCCUCGCGCGAAUGUGAUUUGAGCAGGAAAAAAAUGUUCUGGACGGCUGAAAGUUGUGCGCCUCACUCAAAAUAGUCAAAUCGCUUUAUUACAAGCGGCGUGCGUGUUUCAUUGCCUCGCGCGAAUGUGAUUUGAGCAGGAAAAAAAUGUUCUGGACGGCUGCAUGGUGUGCGCCUCACUCAAAAUAGUCAAGUCGCUUUAUAAGUUUGGAGCUUUAAUCAUUGCAACUAAUGGAACCACUAAACGCUGUAUUUAAACCUUCAUGAAACAAAAUUAACUGAAAAUUCAGCAGAAAAAUUUUCUUUACGAGUGCCUCUUAGAGCAACAUUUUGAUUUCGCACCUUUGUAACUGAUAGAAACACUAGAAGCCUCGUUUAAAUUCAUAUUCAGUAGUGAAACACUUCUUCAAAAAUGAUACUUAGAACAAAUAAGCUUUAUAUUCAGUUUUAAUGAAUUCAUUUUAAAUUUCAGAUUACAAGCAGUGAGCGCGUUUCAUUGCCUCGCGCGAAUGUGAUUUGAGCAGGAAAAAAAUGUUCUGGACGGCUGCAAGGUGUGCGCCUCACUCAAAAUAGUCAAAUCGCUUUAUAAGUUUGGAGCUUUAAUCAUUGCAACUAAUGGAACCACUAAACGCUGUAUUUAAACCUUCAUGAAACAAAAUUAACUGAAAAUUCAGCAGAAAAAUUUUCUUUACGAGUGCCUUUUAGAGCAACAUUUUGAUUUCGCACCUUUGUAACUGAUAGAAACACUAAAAGCUUCGUUUAAAUUCAUAUUCAGUAGUGAAACACUUCUUCAAAAAUGAUACUUAGAACAAAUAAGCUUUAUAUUCAGUUUUAAUGAAUUCAUUUUAAAUUUCAGAUUACAAGCGGCGUGCGCGUUUCAUUGCCUCGCGCGAAUGUGAUUUGAGCAGGAAAAAAAUGUUCUGGACGGCUGCAUGGUGUGCGCCUCACUCAAAAUAGUCAAAUCGCUUUGUAAGUUUGGAGCUUUAAUCAUUGCAACUAAUGGAACCACUAAACGCUUCAUUUAAACAUUCACUAAACAAAAUUAUUUGAAAAUCAGUAGAAAAAUUUUCUUUACGAGUGCCUCGUAGAGCAACAUUUUGAUUUCGCACCUUUGUAACUGAUAGAAACACUAGAAGCCUCGUUUAAAUUCAUAUUCAGUAGUGAAACACUUCUUCAAAAAUGAUACUUAGAACAAAUAAGCUUUAUAUUCAGUUAUAAUGAAUUCAUUUUAAAUUUCAGAUUACAAGCGGCGUGCGCGUUUCAUUGCCUCGCGCGAAUGUGAUUUGAGCAGGAAAAAAAUGUUCUGGACGGCUGCAAGGUGUGCGCCUCACUCAAAAUAGUCAAAUCGCUUUAUAAGUUUGUAGCUUUAAUCAUUGCAACUAAUGGAACCACUAAACGCUUCAUUUAAACAUUCAUGUAACAAAAUUAACUGAAAAUUCAGUAGAAAAAAUCUUCUUUACGAGUGCCUUGUAGAGCAACAUUUUGAUUUCGCACCUUUGUAACUGAUAGAAACACUAGAAGCCUCGUUUAAAUUCAUAUUCAGUAGUGAAACACUUCUUCAAAAAUGAUACUUAGAACAAAUAAGCUUUAUAUUCAGUUUUAAUGAAUUCAUUUUAAAUUUCAGAUUACAAGCGGCGUGCGCGUUUCAUUGCCUCGCGCGAAUGUGAUUUGAGCAGGAAAAAAAUGUUCUGGACGGCUGCAAGGUGUGCGCCUCACUCAAAAUAGUCAAAUCGCUUUAUAAGUUUGGAGCUUUAAUCAUUGCAACUAAUGGAACCACUAAACGCUUCAUUUAAACAUUCAUGUAACAAAAUUAACUGAAAAUUCAGUAGAAAAAAUCUUCUUUACGAGUGCCUUGUAGAGCAACAUUUUGAUUUCGCACCUUUGUAACUGAUAGAAACACUAAAAGCUUCGUUUAAAUUCAUAUUCAGUAGUGAAACACUUCUUCAAAAAUGAUACUUAGAACAAAUAAGCUUUAUAUUCAGUUUUAAUGAAUUCAUUUUAAAUUUCAGAUUACAAGCAGUGAGCGCGUUUCAUUGCCUCGCGCGAAUGUGAUUUGAGCAGGAAAAAAAUGUUCUGGACGGCUGCAAGGUGUGCGCCUCACUCAAAAUAGUCAAAUCGCUUUGUAAGUUUGGAGCUUUAAUCAUUGCAACUAAUGGAACCACUAAACGCUUUAUUUAAACAUUCAUGUAACAAAAUUAACUGAAAAUUCAGUAGAAAAAAUCUUCUUUACGAGUGCCUUGUAGAGCAACAUUUUGAUUUCGCACCUUUGUAACUGAUAGAAACACUAAAAGCUUCGUUUAAAUUCAUAUUCAGUAGUGAAACACUUCUUCAAAAAUGAUACUUAGAACAAAUAAGCUUUAUAUUCAGUUUUAAUGAAUUCAUUUUAAAUUUCAGAUUACAAGCGGCGUGCGCGUUUCAUUGCCUCGCGCGAAUGUGAUUUGAGCAGGAAAAAAAUGUUCUGGACGGCUGCAUGGUGUGCGCCUCACUCAAAAUAGUCAAAUCGCUUUGUAAGUUUGGAGCUUUAAUCAUUGCAACUAAUGGAACCACUAAACGCUUCAUUUAAACAUUCACAAAACAAAAUUAUUUGAAAAUCAGUAGAAAAAUUUUCUUUACGAGUGCCUCGUAGAGCAACAUUUUGAUUUCGCACCUUUGUAACUGAUAGAAACACUAGAAGCCUCGUUUAAAUUCAUAUUCAGUAGUGAAACACUUCUUCAAAAAUGAUACUUAGAACAAAUAAGCUUUAUAUUCAGUUAUAAUGAAUUCAUUUUAAAUUUCAGAUUACAAGCGGCGUGCGCGUUUCAUUGCCUCGCGCGAAUGUGAUUUGAGCAGGAAAAAAAUGUUCUGGACGGCUGCAAGGUGUGCGCCUCACUCAAAAUAGUCAAAUCGCUUUAUAAGUUUGUAGCUUUAAUCAUUGCAACUAAUGGAACCACUAAACGCUUCAUUUAAACAUUCAUGUAACAAAAUUAACUGAAAAUUCAGUAGAAAAAAUCUUCUUUACGAGUGCCUUGUAGAGCAACAUUUUGAUUUCGCACCUUUGUAACUGAUAGAAACACUAGAAGCCUCGUUUAAAUUCAUAUUCAGUAGUGAAACACUUCUUCAAAAAUGAUACUUAGAACAAAUAAGCUUUAUAUUCAGUUUUAAUGAAUUCAUUUUAAAUUUCAGAUUACAAGCGGCGUGCGCGUUUCAUUGCCUCGCGCGAAUGUGAUUUGAGCAGGAAAAAAAUGUUCUGGACGGCUGAAAGUUGUGCGCCUCACUCAAAAUAGUCAAAUCGCUUUAUUACAAGCGGCGUGCGUGUUUCAUUGCCUCGCGCGAAUGUGAUUUGAGCAGGAAAAAAAUGUUCUGGACGGCUGCAUGGUGUGCGCCUCACUCAAAAUAGUCAAGUCGCUUUAUUACAAGCAGUGAGCGCGUUUCAUUGCCUCGCGCGAAUGUGAUUUGAGCAGGAAAAAAAUGUUCUGGACGGCUGCAAGGUGUGCGCCUCACUCAAAAUAGUCAAAUCGCUUUGUAAGUUUGGAGCUUUAAUCAUUGCAACUAAUGGAACCACUUAACGCUUUAUUUAAACAUUCAUGUAACAAAAUUAACUGAAAAUUCAGUAGAAAAAAUCUUCUUUACGAGUGCCUUGUAGAGCAUUUUGAUUUCGCACCUUUGUAACUGAUAGAAACACUAAAAGCUUCGUUUAAAUUCAUAUUCAGUAGUGAAACACUUCUUCAAAAAUGAUACUUAGAACAAAUAAGCUUUAUAUUCAGUUUUAAUGAAUUCAUUUUAAAUUUCAGAUUACAAGCGGCGUGCGCGUUUCAUUGCCUCGCGCGAAUGUGAUUUGAGCAGGAAAAAAAUGUUCUGGACGGCUGCAAGGUGUGCGCCUCACUCAAAAUAGUCAAAUCGCUUUAUAAGUUUGGAGCUUUAAUCAUUGCAACUAAUGGAACCACUAAACGCUUUAUUUAAACAUUCAUGUAACAAAAUUAACUGAAAAUUCGGUAGAAAAAAUCUUCUUUAAGAGUGCCUUGUAGAGCAACAUUUUGAUUUCGCACCUUUGUAACUGAUAGAAACACUAAAAGCUUCGUUUAAAUUCAUAUUCAGUAGUGAAACACUUCUUCAAAAAUGAUACUUAGAACAAAUAAGCUUUAUAUUCAGUUUUAAUGAAUUCAUUUUAAAUUUCAGAUUACAAGCGGCGUGCGCGUUUCAUUGCCUCGCGCGAAUGUGAUUUGAGCAGGAAAAAAAUGUUCUGGACGGCUGCAAGGUGUGCGCCUCACUCAAAAUAGUCAAAUCGCUUUGUAAGUUUGGAGCUUUAAUCAUUGCAACUAAUGGAACCACUAAACGCUUCAUUUAAACAUUCACUAAACAAAAUUAUUUGAAAAUCAGUAGAAAAAUUUUCUUUACGAGUGCCUCGUAGAGCAACAUUUUGAUUUCGCACCUUUGUAACUGAUAGAAACACUAGAAGCCUCGUUUAAAUUCAUAUUCAGUAGUGAAACACUUCUUCAAAAAUGAUACUUAGAACAAAUAAGCUUUAUAUUCAGUUUUAAUGAAUUCAUUUUAAAUUUCAGAUUACAAGCGGCGUGCGCGUUUCAUUGCCUCGCGCGAAUGUGAUUUGAGCAGGAAAAAAAUGUUCUGGACGGCUGCAAGGUGUGCGCCUCACUCAAAAUAGUCAAAUCGCUUUAUAAGUUUGGAGCUUUAAUCAUUGCAACUAAUGGAACCACUAAACGCUGUAUUUAAACCUUCAUGAAACAAAAUUAACUGAAAAUUCAGCAGAAAAAUUUUCUUUACGAGUGCCUCUUAGAGCAACAUUUUGAUUUCGCACCUUUGUAACUGAUAGAAACACUAGAAGCCUCGUUUAAAUUCAUAUUCAGUAGUGAAACACUUCUUCAAAAAUGAUACUUAGAACAAAUAAGCUUUAUAUUCAGUUUUAAUGAAUUCAUUUUAAAUUUCAGAUUACAAGCAGUGAGCGCGUUUCAUUGCCUCGCGCGAAUGUGAUUUGAGCAGGAAAAAAAUGUUCUGGACGGCUGCAAGGUGUGCGCCUCACUCAAAAUAGUCAAAUCGCUUUAUAAGUUUGGAGCUUUAAUCAUUGCAACUAAUGGAACCACUAAACGCUGUAUUUAAACCUUCAUGAAACAAAAUUAAUUGAAAAU